UGAACCCCGCUUGGUAAGAUGGAAGCCACAUCACCAAUACCGAGUCUUGGGCUGUCUGCAGUAACGCAGAGUGCUAAGCGUAGACAGGAAGGUAGUAGGCCUGAAAGUGAUAGAGCUCCGAAAAGGAGUACGUUGGGAAGGCCGACGGUUUACGGCUACUGGAAGGCAACAUGUGAUCACGCGGAAAAAAAAUGGCGAGUGUGACCACGCUUCCCCGGAGUCAGAGAGCC
rfam:Paenibacillus riograndensis SBR5 isolate SBR5(T) genome assembly, chromosome: I